UGGGGAAUAUUGGACAAUGGGCGCAAGCCUGAUCCAGCAAUGCCGCGUGAGUGAUGAAGGCCUUCGGGUCGUAAAGCUCUUUUACCUAGGGAUGAUAAUGACAGUACCUGGAGAAUAAGCUCCGGCUAACUCCGUGCC
rnacentral:rRNA from 1 species